rnacentral:lncRNA from 1 species
UCCCGCUGCACCUCUCCGCCGCCCUGCCUCCCCUGCCCGGCUUCAGCCCCUCCAGCGAUACGGCUGAUGGAGGGGAGGCGGCGGCUGGGGUUUCGUUCGACGCCCACCAGGGGCUGAGCGAGCCUUCUUCAGUGCGCAAACUCGGGGCACCAGAUAAAAGCUGGGCUGGCAGCUCUUACCCUGCCUCGAUGGAGCCGCCACUUUCGGCUGACUGGAGAAGCAGUUAGCAGCAGCGCCAUAGACUAAGCGUCCCCCCACACCUUGGGCACAGAGAGUUUGGGGCUCUAAACAGCUGCUGCUGCGGCAGGAGGGAGUCGAGGUGAAGGGAUCUGCUAGCUGGUUGGACGCAGAGGAGGCGGCUGUAAUGGGGCAUUAAGUCUGAGGGAGGAGGGGGGGGCGAUUAAACCUCUUGUGAUCAUGGCGGAGUCUAUGGGUAUUUUUUUUCCUGUCUAACUCUUCUGUGCGUGUGUCUCUUGUUUCUUUCUCUCUCUCUCUCUCUCUCUCUCUCCUUAGGGCGCUUGGCUGGGGCUGCUCGCUCGGGUUCUGCCUGUUGUUGCGCGAAAUGGCGGCUGGCGUCUUGGUGAAAGUACACUAAAGGAAGAUUUGCUGAAAUCUGAAGAGGGAGACAGGCUCAGUCACUCAAACUACAGUGAUUCCAGAAUCUGUAAUGUAGACAGGCUAAGUGGUUUGUUUUUUUUUGUUUUUUUUUUUUCCCCUGUGCAGUUAAUGCUGUGCUUUUUUUGCUGGUUUCUCAGGGGAAAAGACUCAACAUGUUGAAUCACAGAGAUGUUAAUUCCUGCUAGGUUUUGGGAUUUCCUUGCAGCUCUUCCCUCCAUGGCUGCAGGAGCUGUUUUUGCAGAGUGCCUCUUCUAAGGCAAGAAUUUGCUAGAGAUGAAGACAGAAGCCAACUGGAUGUAAUAGUUUCUGGCUCAAAUUGUGUGGUAAUUGUCAGAAUAUCACAGGGUGUUGUAGGAACUGCUGUGUUGAGCAUAGUUGAGGAUUUAUUCUUUCAUAAUUUGCCUAAAUGAGUAUAAAAUGCUAAUCUGAAUUAACAUACAAAAGUGAGGGGAAAGAUUUCUUGAUGUUUUCUACCCACUUGAAACCUGAUGUGUGCAAAAAUAAAUUUCAGUAUGCUGAAGUAGUCA